GUGGUAAUGCCGGAUGUUCCACAUGAUCGCAUGUGAUUGUGGGAAAGAUUCUAUCGGCGUGGGAUGGGGUCGCGUCCUAUCAGCUUGUUGGUGAGGUAACGGCUCACCAAGGCUUCGACGGGUAGCCGGCCUGAGAGGGCGACCGGCCACAUUGGGACUGAGAUACGGCCCAGACUCCUACGGGAGGCAGCAGUGGGGAAUAUUGCACAAUGGGCGCAAGCCUGAUGCAGCGACGCCGCGUGAGGGAUGGAGGCCUUCGGGUUGUAAACCUCUUUUGUUUGGGAGCAAGCCUUCGGGUGAGUGUACCUUUCGAAUAAGCGCCGGCUAACUACGUGCCAGCAGCCGCGGUAAUACGUAGGGCGCAAGCGUUAUCCGGAUUUAUUGGGCGUAAAGGGCUCGUAGGCGGCUCGUCGCGUCCGGUGUGAAAGUCCAUCGCUUAACGGUGGAUCUGCGCCGGGUACGGGCGGGCUGGAGUGCGGUAGGGGAGACUGGAAUUCCCGGUGUAACGGUGGAAUGUGUAGAUAUCGGAAAAAAAAC
rnacentral:rRNA from 1 species